rnacentral:rRNA from 1 species
CCCUAGUAACUGCGAGUGAAGCGGGAAAAGCUCAAAUUUAAAAGCUGGUAGUCUCAGGCUGCCCGCGUUGUAAUCUAGAGAAGUGUUAUCCGCGCUGGACCGUGUACAAGUCUCCUGGAAUGGAGCGUCAUAGAGGGUGAGAAUCCCGUCUUUGACACGGACUGCCAGGGCUUUGUGAUGCGCUCUCAAAGAGUCGAGUUGUUUGGGAAUGCAGCUCAAAAUGGGUGGUAAAUUCCAUCUAAAGCUAAAUAUUGGCGAGAGACCGAUAGCGAACAAGUACCGUGAGGGAAAGAUGAAAAGAACUUUGGAAAGAGAGUUAAACAGUACGUGAAAUUGCUGAAAGGGAAACGCUUGAAGUCAGUCGCGUUGUCCGGGGAUCAACCUUGCUUUUGCUGGGCGUAUNCUCCGGUUGACGGGCCAGCAUCAAUUUUGGCCACUGGAAAAAGGCCAGGGGAAUGUGGCAUCUUCGGAUGUGUUAUAGCCCUUGGUUGCAUACAGUGGCUGGGAUUGAGGAACUCAGCACGCCGCAAGGCCGGGUUUUAACCACGUUCGUGCUUAGGAUGCUGGCAUAAUGGCUUUAAUCGACCCGUCUUGAAACACGGACCAAGGAGUCUAACAUGCCUGCGAGUGUUUGGGUGGAAAACCCGAGCGCGUAAUGAAAGUGAAAGUUGAGAUCCCUGUCGUGGGGAGCAUCGACGCCCGGACCAGACCUUUUGUGACGGAUCUGCGGUAGAGCAUGUAUGUUGGGACCC